rnacentral:rRNA from 1 species
GAUGAACGCUGGCGGCGUGCUUAACACAUGCAAGUCGAACGGAAAGGCUCCUGCUUGCAGGGGUACUCGAGUGGCGAACGGGUGAGUAACACGUGGGUGAUCUGCCCUGCACUUCGGGAUAAGCCUGGGAAACUGGGUCUAAUACCGGAUAGGACGAUGGUUUGGAUGCCAUUGUGGAAAGUUUUUUCGGUGUGGGAUGAGCUCGCGGCCUAUCAGCUUGUUGGUGGGGUAAUGGCCUACCAAGGCGUCGACGGGUAGCCGGCCUGAGAGGGUGUACGGCCACAUUGGGACUGAGAUACGGCCCAGACUCCUACGGGAGGCAGCAGUGGGGAAUAUUGCACAAUAGGCGCAAGCCUAAUGCAACGACGCCGCGUGGGGGAUGACGGCCUUCGGGUUGCAAACUCCUUUCGCUAGGGACGAAGCGCAAGUGACGGUACCUGGAGAAGAAGCACCGGCUAACUACGUG